rnacentral:rRNA from 1 species
UGAGGAAUAUUGCACAAUGGGCGCAAGCCUGAUGCAGCGACGCCGCGUGUGGGAUGAAGGGGCUACGCCUCGUAAACCACUGUAGCCCGGGACGAAAAACGCCUUAGAGGCGUUAGACGGUACCGGGAAAGUAAGGGUCGGCUAACUACGUGCCAGCAGCCGCGGUAAUACGUAGGACCCAAGCGUUGUCCGGAUUUACUGGGUGUAAAGGGUGCGCAGGCGGAUGGGUAAGUCAGGGGUGAAAGUCUGCAGCUUAACUGUAGAAGUUCCUUGGAUACUGCGUAGCUUGAGUGUGGGAGAGGUUGAUGGAAUUCCAGGUGUAGCAGUGAAAUGCGUAGAUAUCUGGAAGCACACNAGUGGCGAAGGCGGUCAACUGGCCCAUAACUGACGCUCAUGCNCGAAAGCGUGGGGAGCAAACA